rnacentral:rRNA from 1 species
GAUGAACGCUGGCGGCGUGCCUAAUACAUGCAAGUCGAGCGAACAGACGAGGAGCUUGCUCCUCUGACGUUAGCGGCGGACGGGUGAAUAACACGUGGAUAACCUACCUAUAAGACUGGGAUAACUUCGGGACACCGGCGCUAAUCCCGGAUAAUAUAUUGAACCGCAUGGUUCAAUAGUGAAAGACGGUUUUGCUGUCACUUAUAGCUGGAUCCGCGCCGCAUUAGCUGGUUGGUAAGGUAACGGGUUACCAAGGGUACGAUGCGUAGCCGACCUGCGAGGGGGAUAGGCCACACGGGAAGUGAGACACGGUCAAGACGCCUACGGGAGGCAGCAGUAGGGAAUCGGCCGCAGUGGGGGAAAGCAUGACGGAGCAACGCCGAGCGAGUGAUGAAGGUCUUCGGAGCGUAAAACUCUGUUACUAGGGAAGAACAAAUGUGUAAGGAAAUAUGCACGGCUUGACGGUACCUAAUAAGAAAGCCACGGCUAACUACGUG